GAGUUUGAUCAUGGCUCAGAACGAACGCUGGCGGCAGGCUUAACACAUGCAAGUCGAACGCCCCGCAAGGGGAGUGGCAGACGGGUGAGUAACACGUGGGAACGUACCCUUUUCUACGGAAUAACCCAGGGAAACUUGGACUAAUACCGUAUGUGCCCUUCGGGGGAAAGAUUUAUCGGAAAAGGAUCGGCCCGCGUUGGAUUAGCUAGUUGGUGGGGUAAAGGCCUACCAAGCCGACGAUCCUUAGCUGGUCUGAGAGGAUGAUCAGCCACACUGGGACUGAGACACGGCCCAGACUCCUACGGGAGGCAGCAGUGGGGAAUAUUGGACAAUGGGCGCAAGCCUGAUCCAGCAAUGCCGCGUGAGUGAUGAAGACCUUAGGGUUGUAAAGCUCUUUUACCCGGGAUGAUAAUGACAGUACCGGGAGAAUAAGCUCCGGCUAACUCCGUG
rnacentral:rRNA from 1 species